AGUGAACGCUGGCGGUAGGCCUAACACAUGCAAGUCGAACGGCAGCACAGUAAGAGCUUGCUCUUACGGGUGGCGAGUGGCGGACGGGUGAGGAAUACAUCGGAAUCUACUUUUUCGUGGGGGAUAACGUAGGGAAACUUACGCUAAUACCGCAUACGACCUACGGGUGAAAGCAGGGGAUCUUCGGACCUUGCGCGAUUGAAUGAGCCGAUGUCGGAUUAGCUAGUUGGCGGGGUAAAGGCCCACCAAGGCGACGAUCCGUAGCUGGUCUGAGAGGAUGAUCAGCGACACUGGAACUGAGACACGGUCCAGACUCCUACGGGAGGCAGCAGUGGGGAAUAUUGGACAAUGGGGGCAAGCCUGAUCCAGCCAUACCGCGUGGGUGAAGAAGGCCUUCGGGUUGUAAAGCCCUUUUGUUGGGAAAGAAAAGCAGCAGGUUAAUACCCCGCCGUUCUGACGGUACCCAAAGAAUAAGCACCGGCUAACUUCGUG
rnacentral:rRNA from 1 species